UUACAGCUGCCUGCUGAGUGGGUAAGCUUGGCUGAUCAUGGAAAUGUCACACAUCUGCCGGAUAAAUCUCGGAAGAUUGGUGGAUUUUUACCAAUGUCAGUAUUCUGGCUUGUUACACUAUAGUUUUGCCAAAGUUGUUAUUGGGAGCAUCGUCCCCAAAAGGGUUGCGGGUUCGACCCCGCUCCGGGCGUGUAGGGGAGGCAGUCGAUCCGUGUUUCUCUCCUUCCCCCUCCUCCCUCUAAAAUCAAUAAAAACAUGUCCUCCGGUGAGGGUUUUAUUUUUUUUAUCAUUGGGAGAAGUAGGCAAAGUGUACAAGGGGAUCUCUAUUAUUUCUUACAACAUGCAGGUGAAUCCGCAGUUACCUCACGUGUGUGUGGUUUUGCACCAGCGGCCCCCCCCCCCGCCCCCCCAGGAUCACACACAACUGGGGGAACUCCAGACUGGCAGGUGAUGGAAACCUCCUAAGAACAUAAGGUUGUUGCAGUUGAACCAGGCCGAGAUCCUCCUCCUGGGUCCUCAGGUGCCACUGGAGAUACAGGGUCCCCCAAUUUUUUUAAAAAAUAUUUGUAUUGAUCUCAGAGAGGAAGGGAGAGAUAGAAACAUCAAUGAGAGGAUCACUGAUUGGCUGUCCCCCCGCUUGCCCCCCACUGGGGAUCAAGCCCGCAACCUGGGCAUAUGCCCCUGACCGGAAGAAACCCAGGACCCUUCAGUCCACAGGCCAACGCUCUACCCACUGAGCCACACCGGGUAGGGCAUGGGUCACCCUGUUUUUGCCAGAGGCAGCCAAUGGCAUGGACAUAAUGAAGCCAUUGGGUCUGAUCUGACCUGUCUCCGAAGGUCCUUCCUGGGAAGGUUGGAUGCUCCCACUGAGAACCAGAUUGUAGGUUCUUUGGCCUCUUGCUUCCAGAUGCAACCACCUGACUGGUGGGGACUCGGAUAAAGGGAAAGGAAUCAAACGCCUGCGUUCGGAGGCUCCUGGUAGAUUUCCUGGCGUUCUCAGCCUUUUGAGUCUGAAGAGUAGGGAGCCCAUGCAGAGGGGGAGGCCACCUCCUCAGGCAAGGCCUGCCUCACACUGGAAGGCAGUGGGGACCGAUGGAUAGGUUUCAUUUUUUAAAAUUUAUUUUUCCACAGUAUCUGUUAAUCAUUUAUUUAUCAAGAGAACUAUUCCUUAGCUCAGAUAUCCCUGUUUCAUAUUCAGGAGCACAGCUCAGUGACAAACUUCCAUGGAAUUCAACCCAAAGAAAUUCCUUACAUUCCAAGGUCACGUUGCACUCUGAGAGAUGCCAGCCUUCUUCAUCUCCUCAGACUCUUCCCUGGAAUUACAGUUUCUGUGGGAAUCUGCCAAUGCCUCCUUUCUUGGUUCCCCCACAGCAAACUCACAGAAAGCUGCAGCCCCAGGGACACAAUGGUGGUUCCAACAACAUGAAAUCGCAGACUCGUGGCUGAAGGCCACACAUCGGAGGUCUUGUCAAAGCCCUGGAAGUGUCACUGGACAGGGACCUGGCCCUGAGCUCGUCUCUCUAGGACCAGCGGUUCUGGACUUCAGGAAAAAUGUCGCACCACCAGUCCAGAACAGAACACUAUUUUGAGCUAUGCAGGGCAGGUGGGACCACCCCAGUUUACAAAUGAGUAAGCUGAGGCCCUGAGCAGUGUGAUGACUUCCCAAGGGUAAGGCAGACUGGGAUGACAGAUGGGCCCUUCCUCCUGGAGAGCUGUGUUGGCAGUUGCCCCAGGGCCACAUUUGAGGCCUGGUUAGUUCCUGUGUUGAAGUGGACUGUGAAUUUCCACUCGGCCAGCCUUCCUACGGUUCUGGAUGACAUCCAUUUUGUCUUUUAGUUGUGGUUUUGAUGUGGUUGUGUGAGGCAGCAAGUACAGGUGUAUAUCCAUGCCACCAUCUUGGUUCCUCCAGGGCUAUACCAUCUUAGUUUUAAUAGCAUACAUUAACUUCUCCUAUCCAAUUCUGUACACACACACACACACACACAUUUUAUGUUGUUGCUACAAAUUCACCUCUACACGUUGUUAACAUAGAUUUAUAAUUAUUGUUUUAUAUAUCUUUUAAAUCAUAUCCUAUAUAAUAAAGAGCUAAUAUGAAAAUUGUUGUCAUGCCCUCACGCCAUCAAGCUCAGACAAUUAACACGGGGGAGAGAGGAGUGGGGACCAGCCAGGCACAAAUGAGCUCAUGAGAGAGGAAUGGGGGCCAUCCAGGCACAAAUAAGCUUGUGAGAGAGGAAUGGGAACCAGCCAGGCUGCAGCCAAGGAGAGGAACAAGCCACCUACCCCGUGGUCCCGGGCACCUGUGGCUGCAGCCCGGGUGAAGCCGCCUGCCCAUGGUCCCCUACGGCUGCGGCCAGCCCGGGUGAAGCCACCCCUGUCCAGGUCCUGGGUGCCUGUGGCUGGCCAGAGGAAGGGAAGCACAGGUUCUGGGUGCCUGUGACCAGCUGUAGGAGGGAAUCCUGGGUCCUGAGUGCGGGGUGAGGA